AACUAUGGCCAUACCACCCUGAAUGCACCUGAUCUCGUCUGAAAUGGGGAGACUUGAGGACCAGGGCUGAGUCAUGUGUCAAGGUCUCACAGCAGCUGGUGGUAGAGCUGAAGUCACAGUGU
rnacentral:rRNA from 1 species